GAUGAACGCUGGCGGCGUGCCUAACACAUGCAAGUCGAGCGGAGAAAUCAGAAGGAACCUUCGGGGGAAAUCAGAUGGAUCAGCGGCGGACGGGUGAGUAACGCGUGGGUAAUCUGCCGACUGCAGGGGAACAACACUUAGAAAUCGGUGCUAAUGCCCCAUAAGCUUACAGUAUCGCAUGGUACGGUAAGAAAAGACUUAUCGGCAGUCGAGGAGCCCGCGUCUGAUUAGUUAGUCGGCAGGGUAACGGCCUACCAAGACGACGAUCAGUAGCCGGCCUGAGAGGGCGAACGGCCACACUGGGACUGAGACACGGCCCAGACUCCUACGGGAGGCAGCAGUGGGGAAUAUUGCACAAUGGGGGAAACCCUGAUGCAGCAACGCCGCGUGAAGGAAGAAGGUUCUCGGAUCGUAAACUUCUAUCAACGGGGAAGAAAAGAAUGACGGUACCCGAGUAAGAAGCCCCGGCUAACUACGUGCCAGCAGCCGCGGUAAAAC
rnacentral:rRNA from 1 species